rnacentral:rRNA from 1 species
GACGAACGCUGGCGGCGUGCCUAAUACAUGCAAGUAGAACGCUGGAGAGAGGAGCUUGCUCUUCUUGGAUGAGUUGCGAACGGGUGAGUAACGCGUAGGUAACCUGCCUUGUAGCGGGGGAUAACUAUUGGAAACGAUAGCUAAUACCGCAUAACAAUGGAUGACACAUGUCAUUUAUUUGAAAGGGGCAAUUGCUCCACUACAAGAUGGACCUGCGUUGUAUUAGCUAGUAGGUGAGGUAAUGGCUCACCUAGGCGACGAUACAUAGCCGACCUGAGAGGGUGAUCGGCCACACUGGGACUGAGACACGGCCCAGACUCCUACGGGAGGCAGCAGUAGGGAAUCCUCGGCAAUGGGGGCAACCCUGACCGAGCAACGCCGCGUGAGUGAAGAAGGUUUUCGGAUCGUAAAGCUCUGUUGUAAGUCAAGAACGGGUGUGAGAGUGGAAAGUUCACACUGUGACGGUAGCUUACCAGAAAGGGACGGCUAACUACGUG